rnacentral:rRNA from 1 species
UCCUACGGGAGGCAGCAGUGGGGAAUUUUGGACAAUGGGCGAAAGCCUGAUCCAGCAAUGCCGCGUGUGUGAAGAAGGCCUUCGGGUUGUAAAGCACUUUUGUCCGGAAAGAAAUGGCUCUGGUUAAUACCUGGGGUCGAUGACGGUACCGGAAGAAUAAGGACCGGCUAACUACGUGCCAGCAGCCGCGGUAAUACGUAGGGUCCAAGCGUUAAUCGGAAUUACUGGGCGUAAAGCGUGCGCAGGCGGUUGUGCAAGACCGAUGUGAAAUCCCCGAGCUUAACUUGGGAAUUGCAUUGGUGACUGCACGGCUAGAGUGUGUCAGAGGGGGGUAGAAUUCCACGUGUAGCAGUGAAAUGCGUAGAGAUGUGGAGGAAUACCGAUGGCGAAGGCAGCCCCCUGGGAUAACACUGACGCUCAUGCACGAAAGCGUGGGGAGCAAACAGGAUUAGAUACCCUGGUAGUCCACGCCCUAAACGAUGUCAACUAGUUGUUGGGGAUUCAUUUCCUUAGUAACGUAGCUAACGCGUGAAGUUGACCGCCUGGGGAGUACGGUCGCAAGAUUAAAACUCAA